rnacentral:piRNA from 1 species
UAGGGUGUAUAUUGGCGAAGUGCCUCCAU